AAAAUGGAGACAAUACCAGAUCUCAAUGACAAAAUUAAGUAAUUAUAAAAAAAAUUGAAUGACAAUUUUUCUUUGCAAAAGGAAGAAAGGAUCUGCAUGUGUGGUUGGCUACGCAUCAUAGUCUAUGACGAAUUGGCGAAAUGCCGUGAACUAGAUUCAUGCUUAACGAAUAAUUAUAAACGAAUUCGUUUAAGAUAGUGGCUAAACUUAGGCAUCAGCUAGCGAGCACAAAGUUCGCGGUCAAUCGAAUUCAAGCAAUUCAAGGUGAACCGAUAACCCCGACAUCGAGAACGAGGGCGCGUUAGUAAUAUAUUUUCUAAACCAACAGAUCCACAGCUGAUAUUCAGCUCAACAAUUAUCAACGCCAAUGAAUAAGCGUGUCGACGAAAAGAGAGCAAUUCUGACGAUUAGAUGAAAAAGGAAGACGAAAAGAAA